rnacentral:lncRNA from 1 species
GGCUGAUUAGUAUUCACUCGCUCCUUUUUUUCAGAUAUUUCCUAGCUAUUCAUGUUUGUUUUUCCCCCUAUGAACUUUGAAAUCAAUUUGCUAAUGCAAAAAAAAAAUUCCUCUUAGUGUUUUUUGGGGGUUGCAAUAAGAAAAUCAAAGGUUAACUUGCAGAAGACUGAAAUCUUCAUGCUGUGUUCUUCCUAUUCAAGAACUUAGUGUCUUUCCCUUCAUUUCAAUCUUGUGUGUCUCUCAGGAGCGUUUGAAAGUUUAGCUUGCUUGUUUCUCAUUAAGUUUACUCCUUGAUAUCUUAACUAUUUUUGUCACUCAUAAACGAGGUAUUUAUUUUGUAUCUUCUGAUUGCUGUCUGUAUUUAUGAAAACUUAUUUCUGUCUAUUAAUUUAAUGCUCAACCACCUUAUUGAUUUUGUUUUUCCUUGUUUUCUUAAUUUUUUUUUUAAAGAUUGGCACCAGAGCUAACAUCUGUUGCCAAUCUUCCUUUUUUUCCCCCCUCCUUCUUCUCCGCAAAGCCCCCCAGUACAUAGUCGUAUCUUCUAGUUGUGAGUGCCUCUGGUUGUGCUGUGUGGGCGCCGCCUCAGCAUGGCCUGAUGAGCGGUGCCAUGUCCGCGCCCCGGAUCAGAACCAGUGAGACCCUGGGCGGCCCAAGCGGAGCGUGAGAACUUAACCACUCAGCCACGGGGCCAGCCCCUGUUUGUUUGUUUGUAUGCUCAUGCUGAAUCCUGUAGGAAGGAUGCACAGUGUUUCUACGAUCGUUUGUAUACAGUCUUCAAUUUCAAUUUGCUCUCUGAUUCAAGAGUUGUUUGAAAGAUUUGCAAGAGCUUAAUCACAGCUCCCUCAAUGAAUAACUUCAUUGAAUUUGCAAUAUCUCUGCAAACUGAUCUCUGAAUCAGCAUGGCACAGUUAAGCCAGUUCUAGCAAAUUUGGAACUGUAUCUUAAAGAACUGUCUCACCUUACCACCCACAGGCUCUCAGCUCCUGAGAGCAGAAACCAAGUGUUGCUUGUCUUUGUGCAUCUAGCACAGAACCUGCCCAAAGCAGGUGCUCAGCAAGUAUUUGCUGAGCGGAACUGUCCUCAACUACCUAAUGGAAAAAGAGAAGAAAGGCAUUUCUUCACUGGACUGGCAAGUAGAAAUGAAUUCAGCCUUACCUGAAAUAGACACACAAACUCCCAGAGGCGGACCAGCGCACCUCUGAGGGUAUGGUUUCUGACCGGUCACUUGGGAGCAUCAUGCCCCUCACCCACAGGCUCAAUUCCAUCUCUGUUUUUGAACAUCGUGGUCCAAGUUCUGUCUCCUCUCAUAAUGUAAGAAACAGAUCCAUGUCUAGUUAUUUUGAGUCAAUGGAAGAUAUUUAAAAUAUUGAUACUUUAAAAGUUUAAAUGAAAUGUUAAUCAAAGGUGGUUUGUGAUGAUUUGCU